UACGGGGGGGGCAAGCGUUGUUCGGAAUUACUGGGCGUAAAGGGCUCGUAGGCGGCCAACUAAGUCAUACGUGAAAUCCCUCGGCUUAACCGGGGAACUGCGUCUGAUACUGGAUGGCUUGAGUUCGGGAGAGGGAUGCGGAAUUCCAGGUGUAGCGGUGAAAUGCGUAGAUAUCGGGAGGAACAUCAGUGGCAGAAGGCGGCUGCCUGGCCCAAUACUGACACUCAGGUGCGACAGCGUGGGGAGC
rnacentral:rRNA from 1 species